rnacentral:rRNA from 1 species
AACGUAGGUGGCAAGCGUUAUCCGGAUUUACUGGGCGUAAAGCGUGUGCAGGCGGGUGGGCAAGUGGGGUAUGAAAUCGCCAGGCUAAACCUGGCGGGGUUAUGCCAGACUGUUUAUCUGGAGUGCGAGAGAGGGGCGUGGAAUUCCUGGUGUAGCGGUGAAAUGCGUAGAUAUCAGGAGGAACACCUGCGGUGUAGACGGCUUUCUGGACCACUACUGACACUGAGACACGAAAGCGUGGGUAGCAAACAGG